AGGGAGGUGGCUGCGGCGCCCGGCGGGGCCACGGGCGUCGUGCGGGGCCGGGCCCUGCGCCGGCUGCGGGCCGCCACGGGGAAGCGCGGCUCGAAGCCGCGGCGCUGCGCCUCAGCGAUGGGCGGCACGCGCGGUGCCCGCCUCGCGGCUGGCGGAACGCUGCACAGCCAGCCCCGCUGCGCCGGGCUUUUUCGUCAGGGAGAGUUCUCAUUGUGUUAUUCUGGGAGAGCUCUUUGGUGCUCGGGUGGGUGCUGAGCGUUUCUCUUCUCAGAGAGGUUUCAGCGCUCGGGUCUUCUGCAGCCUUUCAGCACGGAGUCUCUGUGCCCUUAUUGCCUGCCGUUCCCAAGUUGGUGCCGGCGCCUGCCUGCGGCCCUUCCCCAUCCCCUGCACGCUGAGAGCUGCCCGGCCGCCUGGCUCUGACCCGCUGGCGGCUGCGUGGCAGCACCGUGACCUUGAGGCGCAUCGGGCACCCAGCGGGGCUCCGUGAGCCGUGGGCCCCCGGCGGGACCGCUGCUGCUCUCGGGGUGUUGGUGGGGGGAGCUCAGUGCUGCUGGCACUCUGCUCCCCAGCAGCCCCAGCCUACCGUGCACCACGAUUUCUUCUGCAUUCCCGAAUUUCUGUUGGCUUGCAAAGAGGAGGUCGUUUGACUGGUAGAAGGAAGGGUUUCCUAGUUUUAUCGCGGCACGUCAAUUCCUUUAUGCUUCUGGUACUGUCAGUGGAAAUGCUACCUUUAGCCGCAAACUUCUCCGUGGAUCACAACAGAGGUUUCUCAGCGUGGCAUUUUUUUCACCGUGUGAGCGAGUUUAACCCCCUGCUGUGUGUGUGAUAGGGUGAGCUCAGCACUAAAGCUGGUGGGUGCUGUGCCCUUACAGGUGCCACGACUAAAGGGCAGUGUGCAUCAGUAAUGGCUCGGUGCUAUGGCUGCAUUUCACUCCACUAACUUCUCCUGAGACUGUAUCUCAGUAUACAAAGUGCAGGUGAGGAAUUCAUAGAAUUGUAAAAUGAGUUAGGUUGGAAGGGGCCUUAAAGAUCAAGUUCCAACCCCUGUUAUGCAUGAAUUUUUUUCUUUGUGUGCCUGUGGUCAUCCAACUCCUAACAGACGUUUUCAUGCUGUUGCACUGAGAUCAGAAACUUUUUGAGAUGUGAUGUUCUUUGGGUGUGUGGUGUCCACUGCUGCAACUUCUACGUUCUUCGUGCUUUUGCAGGCUUUAUUAUAAUAUUCCUUCAAGACAGGGCUUCAUCUCUGGUGAAGGAAAGCACUGGAGUUACCAUUUCCUUGUAGAUUCAUUUUUGUAAGAAUUGGUCUCAAGGAUACCUACUUAAUUCUUUUUUUUUUUUUUUCCCCUUGGAAUAGUUAGCAACAGUCAAGUCAGAUCCCCAUCAGUGUUCUUGGCCUUGCAGAAAGGAGGGCCUCUGGUGUAGAAAAUCCAAAGAAGGGCAAUGAAGCUGAUGAGGGGUCAGGUGCACAAGUCUUAUGAAUGGCAUUUGACGGAGCUGAGAUUGUUCAGUCUGGAGAAGAGGAGGCUCAGAGGAGACCUUAUUACUCUCUACAACUGCCUGAAGGGAGGUUGUGGUGAGGUGAGGGUCAAUCUCUUCUCUUGUGUACCUGUGACAGGAUGAGAGGGAAUGGCCUCAAGUUACACCAGGGGAUGUUCAGGUUGGAUAUUAGGAAAAAAAAAUUCAGCAAGAGUGGUGGGGUAUUGGAACAGGCUGCCUAGGAAUGUGGUGGAGUCACCAACCAUGGAGGUGUUCAAGAACUGUGGAGAUGUGGCACUGAGGGACAUGGUUAGUGGGCAUGGGGGGGAUGGGUUGGCAGUUGGACUGCAUGAUCUUAGAGAUCUUUUCCAACUUUAAUGAUUCUGUGAUUCUAUUUUGACACCUGCUAGGGUUCAUGCUAAUGACAUGGUCCCCACCCUUGCUCGUGUAUUGAUUUCCUUCCCCCUUCCUCUUCAUCCCAACCCCAACGUUAGGUGCUGAAAUGAUGAAGCCAAGAGUAGCUCUACACUGUAACAGGCAAAAUGAAGCCCUCCUCUGAUUGAAGCUGUUGGUACUUGAUGUUUUCUAGAGCAAGAGUGAUCAGACAGAUCCUGAGAGAGCUGAUUCCCUCUUUCCUCUUUAAGUACUGUGAUAUCUUUGUGCUGUUCCUUGCCUUCUGUUACAGAAAGAUUGCCACACCACUUUAUAGCCUGUUAGCCCAGUGCUCUCUGGUGAAUCCUGCUCUGAGUUCACUUCUUCAGUUGUGACUUGUCAGUUUUCUGUGUUGAUCUUAUUUACUGUCCAGGUUCCAGAUAAACUCUACAGGAAUUUCUCCCAUUCCUGGGAAAGCCCUGGAUUAAAUUCACCUGCCAGAGCUCCCUGAUGACCUUCCAAUAACAUUGGCUCACUUUGAAAACAGUGAACAGAGCAUAGGACAGAAAAUAGGCUCUUGUAGAGCAGUAUGUCUCUACAGAGUCCCUAGGGGCUUUGUAAACUGCUCCUUCAUUUCUAGACGCUUGUUGGCUUUGUUGAGAUCUCCCUCUUUGGACACUGAAAGGCAUACCUGAGAUUUGCUGGUGUGAUUAUGGAAGCUCAUGUCAAUGUUUAAGUUCUGCUUUUUUUGCUGAAGAAGACAAAGAAUGGGUACAAGUAGUGCUUCCCUCCCCUCCUUCCUCACCAAAAAAAAAAAAAAAAAAAAAAAAAAACCCAAAACACAACAACAACAACAACAACAAACACCCAGGAAAUUUGUAUUCCCCACAGACAUGCAGAAAUCCCCUGAAAUAUCAUUUUGAGACACUGUUCACACUGUUCAGUUGGAAUAAAUGUUAAGAUUUUUGUCUCCGAAAGCAAUUAGUAAGGCCAGCUAUGAGGCCUCCCUAAGGUGGAAGAAGAAUUGGGUAAUCUGUUGGACAUCCAUCGAGUAUUAGGAAGGAGAGGUGAGAAAGAUGAUGUGAUUUAUGCAGUUGUGUGUCUGAAUUCUAGUUGAGGCUACCUCAGCUGUAUGACCAUCACCGGAUACAAACUGAGAGUUGGUGAUACUCCUCCAUAGUCUGCAGGACCAGCUCUGGGCCUUUUCCAUAAUGGUGGCCACAAACAGCAUAUGAUACUGUUGAGACCCCAGAAAUAUGGGGAAUAAUGUAGCAACAACAGUACGAUUUGGAACUUGAUGUGUAUUGAAAGCUAUUUCAUGUGAACAUCUCAUUUUUAUUGGAGAAGAGCAAAUACAUCAAUAUAUGGAGCUUGACAUGGGGGGUAAAAGUAACUUACCAGAAUAGCUUUUUCAUCAGACCCACAAUUCCUUUUGUUUUUUCUUGGUUCCACACUGUUUCCCAUGAAGUCUUCAUUACUUAGGAACUGUUUACAUGGGAAAGGGUCCUUUUUGUAGUUUUGAGUAGGAAGAUGUUGACAGUGUGAUGGACUAAAGAUGUAAUCAGAUAAGAUGUGCUUGGAAAGCCUUUCCUUUUGGUGUCAAGACAUGUCAUCUUUAAUUUGGUGAACAAUAUGAAAGGAGCAGACUGCAGAUCAUGGGCUGACUCCAGCCAUAUAGGUACAACAGAAAGCAGAAUUAGUGUCUGUAGGCACAAGUCUCCUUUUCUCCAGAGAAAUAGGGCAGCUUAGCCUACGGAAAGAACUUUAGUGUCAGCCGUGACAGAUGGAAGUGAAUUCUUUGCUAUUCAUGUGGUAGGAUAUGCUACAAGGCUCGCCAUAGGCCCAGAGGCUGUGUGCAGAAAGCUUUGAUUUCAUACCAGUCAUACAAAGAGUCUGCAAACCAGAUAAGGGGAAGCUGAUACCUAGUGAAAGGAUUUUGAUUGUAGGAUUAUAAACCUGACUGGUCAGGCCAAUAUCCUGUAUUGCUCCAGUCCUUUUUCUAACUGUGAUCAAGAGAUUAUGCUUAAGGAAAGGCCAAGAGGACACAUGAUCCAGCCUUCUUUCUAUGCACCUUGUAUGCUGGGGUGUUGGAGAAUGCCAUCCUUUUAGCAACUUUCCAGAAGUUCUUCCUUGAAUCCAUACAUUCUAGUUCUCCAGCUUAUUUCUGAGACCUAUUCCAUCCGUUUCACCCCAAAAGAUCCCACUUAAAUAUCACGUACCACUGAAAGUGCUCUUUGUUUUUUGUCGUCCUCUAAUUUUUUUUUUUUUCCUUUACUCUGUUACACAAUUUGAUAGCUCACCCAGAUUGCUGUUCUUGGCCUUCAUACACUGAAGGAGACCAUGCUUGCCAACUUCUUACUGGCAUGAUGUGGGAUGGCUGUGGUGGAUUAGAGCACCCAGUGUCACCCAGUGAUUGUGCCCACAGCUGAACACCCAGGGAGGAGCUGAAGGCUGCAGCCAGUGGGCAGUGCCAUUUUCCUGGAGGGCUCCCUCAGCUCUCAGUCAUUUGCCUUUUUAUCCGGUCAUGCUGCACCUCAACUUACCAUUCUUCAUGAGAGUCUGUCUUCCAGUACUCGUGCUGCUCAUGCACUUGAUGACUGGCAGGUUACCAUGCUGUCUUUUCACCUCACUAGCUCAGCUAUGUGCACAGAGCUAUCUCUACAGCCUUUCUUUUCCUCUCUUGUGAAUAGAUGUUCCUGACGGCAUACUACCAGUGAGCAGGUUUCACCAGUAAGAUCGUUGUUAGUCAGCAUAAAGGCCUACUGCUACAAGAUGUUCUUCUCUCCUUGGCACCACUGAUAGUUGGAAUGUAGUCUGAAAGUAGGAGUGUAUCUCAAAUUCUUUCUUCCCCCUCCACAAGCCUAAACUUAAUAAAUUCUUUUAUGUAUUCUCACUCAAACAUGGGGACUAUAUUGCUCUCCCUUCGUACAGGCAUUAGCCUGGUGCUCCUUUUGGUUGGAUGCUCCAUUAAAUUGUGUGCUUUUCUUUAAUUUCAUGCAGAAGGGAAAGUUGCUCAUCGUGACAUGACAUACCUCAGUCAGAGAACAGAAGUUGCCUUUGUGGUGAUAUUAUGUUAUGAGGUUCAGAGCUUUGUGUUUUAAUUACAUCUCAAACUAUUUGAACAGAAUCUGGAUGGUUUGGAUUCUAAAACGCAUUAGCUUAGGGAUGAUGCAACAAAGUUAUUAAAACGAAGUGGUUUCUUUAAAUCUUGCUUUCCUUGGAAGAAAAUGUUGGCUUCGGGCGGAUUUGCUUGGCUACUUCUAAGCAGAGGUGGCUGAACCCUGUGCUUUCAUGGAGGGCUGAGGACUUCUGCUUUCAAGGCAACUGUGGAGAGCAACUUGGCUGAACCUGAAAUGGAUCUGAGAUACCUUUCCUUCAUUGUGCUGGGGUUUCCAUUUGGCUAAGCCUACAAUGAACCACUUCAAGUAGCUCUAAGCUACUUACCUUCAUUAUUAGGGUGAAUAAUAGUUUUUUCUGCUGAUACAAGUCAUUGAACUGGACCGUGGUGGGCGGAAGUUCAAAGCUGACAGGGAUGAAGGUACUGCUUCUCUUCAUUGAAGGUAGUUUUUUAGACUGCAAAGCAGGAACCUGAAGUUGUGGAUCCAGGAUCAGCAUAUGUUUGUAGGUUAUGGAGGAGGAACUGUAGGUAAUGCAAUAUAACCACCACAGUGCUUCCAUUGAUUCUCAACUUUCUUCAUUAGUGUCUAAGCACCCAAAAACAUGUUUUGUCUUUAGUAAAAUGUGCAGUAGCUAAAGCAUGCUUUUUGAAAGAUGUCUGUCCAGCCUUGGUUUGAAGAGAGCAAGAGAUCUGAAAUCUGCCAUCUCCCAUGUUCCAGGUGCUGGUGCUUUCCUUAAGAAAAAAAACUCCCAUGAAAAAAAAACAAACAAUUUUCAGUCACAAAACCUCAGCUUCUAGCAGAAGAUGAGCAAGGCAGGGGAAGCCCUUCAGUUUUGUAAGUUUUGUUUUGUAGGAACAUGCUUCUGCGUGAAAUUACUUUGCCUUUCGGUUGCCUUUUAGAUAAGAUGCAGAUGUUUUAAAGAGUUUAGAUUUCAAAUGACCAUGAUGGCAUCCUACAGCCUUAUUUCAACUCCGGGUAUUUAGUGACUGUUAGGUAUGGAUGCUGACCUACUGGGGACUGUGAUAUUUCUCUCCCCAGUUGUAGGCAAAGCCAGAAUUGCCUUUUUUCCUGUUGUGCUCUGCAGGCGUGACCCAUAUGCCUUAUUCCUAAAUGUCUGAAUCUGAGCUUGGUUAUGCUAAGAAGUAUUUUAUGUGAGAUGCACUUCUGCUUUUCUUGACUCUUUCACCUCUGUGUCUAGAAAGAAUGAGGAGAGGUUACUCGUCAAGUAAAAGUGAGGCUGAUGAGGCUUUGCACAUUAAGCAGGAGGAAAAACAAAAAGGAAAAAUGAGAAAAACAGGAGGGAAAAGAAAAAGGCUGAAGCAUUCAGAAGGAAGGUAGUCAAAUGUUUUCUCAUUCUUACGAUGGUAUGAGGGAAAUGGCAGGAUGCAUUUGGGUUUUAGGCCUCAGGACUAGUAAUUGUGGCCGUUGAGUACUAUUAGAAGUGUUUCUCUGGUAGCCAGCUUACUCUGACACAUUGAACACAGAAUGCAUAAUUACACAUUUCAGAUUGAAAUCAGUUUGAAAAAUUGCUGUGAGCUUUUGCCAGCUCAGGUAUAAAUUUCUUAUGUCAUUUCUUUAAUAUAAUUAUGAAUGGAACUUUAAUUAUUUUUACAUUAAAAUAAGACUUACAACCCUAUGUGUUCUGUAAUAAGAAAGUCUCAGGAUCCAGUUAGCUGGCAGUGCAUUGGCAAAUUGAGGAUCAAAGUAUAAGUAUGGAUUAUUGCAACAAAUCUGCCCUGAGGAACAGAUUUUGAAGUGUUGUUUUUCUUCUCUUUUUCAAGAAUGACAUUCAAGAAAUUCUUCUGUCAGGCAUGUUGAUGUGGUGUAAUGUUUAGAGAGAUCUGUAGCAGAAUGAGAAGACACAUCCCCAAGUCAUAGAGCUGUUAAACUUGACAGAUAAGGAAACUUAUUCUCAUGGUUUAUGGAUGAGAAAUGAUAAUUUGCAUGGGCUGGGAGAAUGGAAGAGCAUGGUGACAGUUGUGGACUAGAUGGUAUUGUUGGCCCAUGUGGGAAUGUCUUACCUAGGGGCAACCAGGACAAACUAGGGGCAAUCAGAACUCUUCCAUGAACUUGGUAAAAUAAUUUCUCCUUGGAAACUGGAUCUUGCAGCAAUGCAGGAGUUAAACAGACCAUACUUGCGCCUACAAGAAUUUUCAUAAACCUUUCUAGGAUGUUCAGGCACAGAGGGAAAUCAGUGUGGGCCACAGCUGCUGCUGGCAUUGAUGGUAUUGUUUCCUUUGUUAAUAUUGUCUUUAGAUCAGCUACACGGGGAAACAAAUUCCUCUGGAAUAGUAGAUUGUUCAGAUAACAAUGAAAUCUGAGCUUCCAAUGUAAAAAAUGAGUUUUACACCUCUGGGCACUUUUGUCUUUGAGGGGAAAAAAAAAACGCUCAGAGAACUGCUGAAUAUGGUUGAGAAUGUACUGGGAUUUCCCAAGGGUAGGAGAAAAAGUGGGUCAGCCAUGAGGACAUCACCUUUGGGCAAUUCACCAGCUGUCUGUAAACUAAAAAAACUCUAAGGCUGCAGUUCAGAGAGUGUUGCUGUAGAUUUGCUUAAAACAGGAGGUAGAGGAAGAUUAAACGUGCUCUACUGAGCAUGCUCCAGCUAAGGGAGAGAUUUUUUUGUCUGAAACAUGGUAGAAAUAGUUGCAGGAGGGCUGCAGAGAGAUGGCUUAAGUGACUAACAGCUGGCAUGAUAAAAUGUUUCCAUCAGUCUCAGGAAAUCUCUUCUGUAUAAUUACAAACAAUCUCUGCUGUGAUCAGCAGUGAGCUUGAAGAACAGGAAAAAAUGUCCCACUUAGGCUCGUUUAGUCUGAUAUGAUGUAACAGUGCAGCAAGUGGCACUUGCCUCACUUACUUUAAUUUUUGUUAGAUUUUAGAAGGCUCUUGGCAGCACAAAGUCUUAGUGUUGUGUCUGUAAAUAUGUAGGCUUUUUUUUUUUUCAUGGAAAGUUAGAAGCAUCUGGGUUAGAAAAGGCAUCUAUAUGAUUGUCUAGUCCAACCAUCAAACCAUCACCACUGUGCCCACCAAGCCACAUCCCUAAGUGCCACAUCUACACAUUUCAUGUGGGAUUACAAACACAAGGUGCAGAGCUGGAGGAGCGCAUCCAAGGAGAGGUUCCUGACAUGUACAGUGCCAUGAGCGGUGAUCCUUGGGCUGGUGGCUUGUUUUCCAACACAUUGGAAUCCAGGUGUUAGAGGUGGAUGCUCUCACAAUCUGCAGCAAAUGCUCAAAAUCGGCCCUAGGCUUCACUAGUUUUAGUUUAUUUACAGUUUCAACAGUUCUUGUGAAGUUAGUGUUUCAUCCAAAGGUUACAGGUAACUUCAAUGGAAUACCUCAGUCUGACUCCUUCUAUAGAAUGCAUUUCUUUUUGUACAAACUGAGGUGGUCCCAGCUAGGAAAAUGCUGGAUGCAGACCCUUCUUCAUCCUCUGUCUUCCAGAAGUUGAGUCCAUGUAGCAAGUACGGUGUUCUCUACUCAGGCACUUAUUGUUAUGCUCUUAUCAUCUGAAUCUUCUUGCCCCAUCCCUGGAUGCAUUCAAGGCCAGGCUGGAUGUGGCUCUGGGCAGCCUGGUCUGGUGGUUGGUGAUCCUGCACAGAGCAGGGUAGUUGAAACUACAUGAUCAAUGUUGUCCUUUUCAACCCAGGGCAUUCUAUGAUUUUAUGUAUAGCUUUUUGAGGAGUUUCUUUCUUGAUAUUUGCAGUGACUUCAUCUAAGAUACGAUUCGACUGAAUAAGAUGAGUAUUAUUUUGCUGGAAUACAAGUUUAAAAUGGUUGGUCUCAAGCUGUAGGCCUUUUGGUCACUCUGCAAUAGGUUAUAUUUGUGACUAUUAAGCAGCUUGUUCCCAGUCUGUUGUAAAGCUGAGUCAGCUGCUCAAGGGGAAAUGCUGUUCCCCAAGACUAGUGGCUCCAGGCAGAGACUGCUGAGCAAAGCUCUGAAGAGAGGCUUGGAGUGGUCUCAUGGAGGAUGGUGAGUAAUAAGCUCCCCACAAAAGCCCUCUGCAGGGAGGAAGCAGAGGAAUUGCCUUGGAGAGAUGCUUUGGGGUACAAAACGGUCAAUUAAACACACUAAUCCAGGAGCAGCUGCUGUGAACGUAUACAGUCUUGAAGAAAAGACCUCCAAGAGCAUCAUGUCCAACCACUGACCCACCCCCACCAUGCCCACUAACCACAUCCCUCAGUGCUACAUCUCCACUGUUCUUGAACACUUCCAGGCGCAGUGACCACCAGCCUCUGCAGCCUGUUCCAAUCUCUGCAUGAUGUUUAAAGGUGUUGGGUGCAGGCUGAGCUUGAUCCCAGAACCAUAGAAUCAUAGAAUGGCUCUGAUUGGAAGGGACCUUAAAGACCAUCCGGUUCUAGCCUCCAAGAAGUAUAACCUCUGGUAGCUCUUGCUUUUGUUCAGAUAUAUUUGUUCUGACUACCAGCAUACUACUCAAGCUUUGCAAGUAGCAAUCAAUACUGGCUCUGCAGGUAGCAGAUAAGCUUAAACUCCUGUUAGUGCUCAUUUUAAGCAUACUGUGAUAUUUGUCUGUUACGUUAAAAGAGGUUACGUUGGUUAUGAUGCAGGAGGAGUUUCUUGGUUUCCAUUUAUUUAAUUUUCUGCUUGGUGCAAAAAUAGGGGCAAUUUGAUUCAAGGAGAUUGGAAGAAAGUAAUAGACUAAUUCUCCUUUAGAUAGCUGGUCUUGGCACAGAAAUAACUGCUGUAUCUGACUGCUUUGUAAUGUAUGCUAAUUCAGUCUCUGAAAGAACGUAUUAAUGCAUUAAUGUCCAACCUUUUGGCUUGCCUGGGACACACUGAGUGAAAAGGAAUUGUCUUGGGCCACAUCUAUGAAGACUGCUCUGGAAGUAAUGCCUCCUAAUUAUUUCCAUGAAAAAUAUAACCAGUACAAUAACACUGUUUAAUGGAGUGAAUUCUCAGCUACAAAGCACUAUUUUUUCUUCACAGCCACCACCAUUAGUUACGCAUUUGGACCAGCAAUGAACAAGAGCCUGCACGCCAUACUCAUAACAAUUUGCACCAGUAGAGGUGACCCACUGUUUUGUUGCCGCUGCUGAAAUGUACCACCCACCGCCUCACUGUGUGGCAUCCACUGUUUGGUCUCCAAAAACAUUCAGGAAGUGCCAACGAAUGUCAGUGGCUGCCACUGUUUCUGCAUGGAGGAAUUCAAGUCCACACUUUUACUCCAUAUGUAAUUCCAUGUCAGGUGCCAUUCUGUCACAUGGCAACAAAAUACAGCAGAAUACUGGUGGGAAGGUUCAACCUCUACUGCCACCUCACCAAUAUCUGCCUUUAUGCCAACUGGAAAUGGAGUAGCAAAUCAACAGGUGAAAUUGAUAAUGUUUAUGGCGCAUAUCACAGAGGAGCCAAUAAGCCACAACUGCUAGGAGUUGAGCUUGCUCUCUGAGCAGGAUUCAGCACAGCAGAGGCAGGUGAUGAAGGAAGAUGUGUCUGCAAGGAACAAUUCAGAACCUUUCGAGCUCCUGCUGUCAGACUUACCCUAACAUAUGACUUGUUUCAAAUUGCUGUUUCAAAUUCAGCAGGAGGUAUGAUGUGUUCUGGGGCUGAAGUACUGUUAGUGCAGUGCAAUGUAUUCUCUUCCAAUCAAUUCUCUUAUAUUGUUGUAUGCAUUUCUAUCCUAAUAAUAGAAUGCUGGUGCAUAGUGCAGCUUAGUUACAUAUCCUCAAAUCUUUGUAUAUUUUUGUUGCUUUAACACAAGGUGUUUCAUUUUUAUAAUUGGUAUUGUGUGCUGGAAACAGAUAAAGUUCGUAGAACAGUGAGAGAGGAUGAGUGCCUGCUGUUAAUCCUGCUGUUGACUGAGCCCAACUUCUGCUGCUCGGUUGUACUUGGAAGCUUUGCUGCUGUUCUUUCUUACUUCUAAACACUCCUAAUCCUUCUUUUACAUUCUCAUUCUCUGCUACAUCAGUUUCAUUUUGGCCUAAUGCUGGUAAACCUUUGUCUUCGUGAGAUCUUUUAAAGCAAUGCUCAUGAUGGGAACAGUUAAGUUAUGCUUAAGUUCUACUUAAAACAUUUUUUUUCUUCCUCUCAUUCACAUAUUGGAGAGAGAGAUUGAACUGACUUCCAGGCUGCACUUUACUGGCAUUGCUGCUUUUGUUUUUCAGAUGUCUGGCCGUAUCUCACCUAAAAAGCCUUCGUUCACGUCAACUUCUUAAGAUACCAUUGGGAUCUGCAGUUAAGGCUUCCAAUGGUGAGGAUGUGUCCUGAAAUAGAGUGCCUUAUUGCAAUUCCUCAACAGUGAGAUUAAGACACUUAAGACUGUCCCAGGACCUUUAGUAAGAUGGUGAGAGACAGACGUCCAGAGCUUUGUUCUGCUGUUUAAUAACCACCCUGAGUCUGAUGGCUUUUCAACUUGGCUGUAUUUUGAACGCUACUAACAAAGCAUACCAAGACUGAAAUGAACUAAUAUGGGAAAGAUGUCAUAUGAUUAGUAGAGCUUUCUUCAAGGAAGAGAGCCAAGAGAAUAUCUGGGGUAGAGAAUAAGAGCAGGGAAAGCAUAUAAAAUGUCUUACCGGAACGCUUAUAUCUCCUUCAGCAAUCUGUGGACUGACAGCUUCUUAAACUAAAGGUGAAAUGUUUGUAUGCAGCUCUUUAACGGAUUUUUAAUUGUUAUUUAUUUAAAUGAAUUUGUCAAGUCAGUUUACAAAUCUCUGCUAGUAUUUGGAGUGAAGAGUUCUUCAGCUAGCAGCUUCUGGGAAGUUCCUUUUGCUCACUGUGAGUUGAUCUCCUGAUGAACACAGAUGUGAACCAGGCGGAUGCAUUUGAUGUAAGGCUCUCCCUGACUGAUAGGUUACAACAUUGGGCAUUGCACUGAAAUAAUUCUCAUGCGGACUUUCCUCCUAAUUUUACUACUGUUGCCACUCAUAGUCACGCUCUUCUGUUGGUCUAGGUGUUCAAUUGCUGCUAUAUUACAUCAGUUUUCUUACAAGCUGCCUUAAAAUUAAAGAGACCGUUUAACCACGUGUGCUCUUCACUGGAGCUGAACAUAUAGCAGAGCAGCGUGUUGGAAUACUUAGUGAGGC
rnacentral:lncRNA from 1 species